UGAACGCUAGCGACAGGCUUAACACAUGCAAGUCGAGGGGCGAGCAUAAAAGUAGCAAUACUUGGUGGCGACCGGCGCACGGGUGAGUAACGCGUAUGCAACCUACCUAUCAGAGGGGAAUAACCCGGCGAAAGUCGGACUAAUACCGCAUAAAACAGGGGCACCGCAUGGUGAUAUUUGUUAAGGAAAUUCGCUGAUAGAUGGGCAUGCGUUCCAUUAGGUAGUUGGUGAGGUAACGGCUCACCAAGCCGACGAUGGAUAGGGGAACUGAGAGGUUGGUCCCCCACACUGGUACUGAGACACGGACCAGACUCCUACGGGAGGCAGCAGUGAGGAAUAUUGGUCAAUGGGCGGGAGCCUGAACCAGCCAAGUCGCGUGAAGGAAGAAGGAUCUAUGGUUCGUAAACUUCUUUUGCAGGGGAAUAAAGUGCAGGACGUGUCCUGUUUUGUAUGUACCCUGAGAAUAAGGAUCGGCUAACUCCGUGCCAGCAGCGGC
rnacentral:rRNA from 1 species